AGGAUGAACGGGUUGCAAUAAAAUGGUGGCUGCGACUGUUUAAUAAAAACACAGCACUCUGCAAACACGAAAGUGGACGUAUAGGGUGUGACGCCUGCCCGGUGCUGGAAGAUUAAAUGAUGGGGUGCAAGCUCUUGAUUGAAGUCCCAGUAAACGGCGGCCGUAACUAUAACGGUCCUAAGGUAGCGAAAUUCCUUGUCGGGUAAGUUCCGACCUGCACGAAUGGCGUAACGAUGGCCACACUGUCUCCUCCCGAGACUCAGCGAAGUUGAAAUGUUUGUGAUGAUGCAAUCUACCCGCGGCUAGACGGAAAGACCCCAUGAACCUUUACUGUAGCUUUGCAUUGGACUUUGAAUCAAUCUGUGUAGGAUAGGUGGGAGGCUUUGAAGCGGACACGCUAGUGUUCGUGGAGCCAACCUUGAAAUACCACCCUGGUUCAUUUGAGGUUCUAACCUUGGUCCGUUAUCCGGAUCGGGGACAGUGCAUGGUAGGCAGUUUGACUGGGGCGGUCUCCUCCUAAAGUGUAACGGAGGAGUUCGAAGGUACGCUAAUUACGGUCGGACAUCGUGAUGAUAGUGCAAUGGCAUAAGCGUGCUUAACUGCGAGACCGACAAGUCGAGCAGGUACGAAAGUAGGACAUAGUGAUCCGGUGGUUCUGUAUGGAAGGGCCAUCGCUCAACGGAUAAAAGGUACUCUGGGGAUAACAGGCUGAUUCCUCCCAAGAGUUCAUAUCGACGGGGGAGUUUGGCACCUCGAUGUCGGCUCAUCACAUCCUGGGGCUGUAGCCGGUCCCAAGGGUAUGGCUGUUCGCCAUUUAAAGUGGUACGUGAGCUGGGUUUAAAACGUCGUGAGACAGUUUGGUCCCUAUCUGCCGUGGGCGUUGGAAAUUUGAAGGGGGCUGCUCCUAGUACGAGAGGACCGGAGUGGACGAACCUCUGGUGUACCGGUUGUCACGCCAGUGGCAUUGCCGGGUAGCUAAGUUCGGAAGAGAUAACCGCUGAAAGCAUCUAAGCGGGAAACUUGCCUUGAGAUGAGAUUUCCCAGAGCCUUGAGCUCUUUAAAGGGUCGUUCGAGACCAGGACGUUGAUAGGCUGGGUGUGGAAGUGCAGUAAUGCAUUAAGCUAACCAGUACUAAUUGCCCGUACGGCUUGUCCCU
rnacentral:rRNA from 4 species